UCAGAUGAACGCUGCGGCAGGCUUAACACAUGCAAGUCGAGCGGUAACAGAGAGAAGACUUGCUUCUCUGCUGACGAGCGGCGGACGGGUGAGUAAUGCCUAGGAAUCUGCCUAGUAGUGGGGGAGUAACUUGCCGAAGGUAAGCUAAUACCGCAUACGUCCUACGGGAGAAAGGAGGGGACCUUCGGGGCCUUUCGCUAUUAGAUGAGCCUAGGUCGGAUUAGUUAGUUGGUGAGGUAAUGGCUCACCAAGACCGCGAUCCGUAACUGGUCUGAGAGGAUGAUCAGUCACACUGGAACUGAGACACGGUCCAGACUCCUACGGGAGGCAGCAGUGGGGAAUAUUGGACAAUGGGGGGAACCCUGAUCCAGCCAUGCCGCGUGUGUGAAGAAGGUCUUAGGAUUGUAAAGCACUUUAAGUUGGGAGGAAGAGCAGUUAACUAAUAUUUGACUGUUUUGACGUUACCGACAGAAUAAGCACCGGCUAACUUCGUG
rnacentral:rRNA from 1 species